rnacentral:rRNA from 1 species
GGGUGAGGAACACGUGAGUAACCUACCCUAAAGCGGGGGACAACUUUCCGAAAGGAAGGCUAAUACCGCGUAUGACCAUAAUUUCCUUGGAUUUUAUGGUGAAAGAUGGCCUCUAUUUAUAAGCUAUCACUUUAGGAUGGGCUCGCGGCUUAUCAGCUUGUUGGUGGGGUAAUGGCCUACCAAGGCAAUGACGAGUAGCUGGUCUGAGAGGAUGAUCAGCCACAUCGGAACUGAGACACUGUCCGAACUCC